GGGGAUUUAGCUCAGUGGUAGAGCACUUGCCUAGCAAGCACAAGGCCCUGGGUUCGGUCCCCAGCUCG
rfam:Rattus norvegicus chromosome 2, whole genome shotgun sequence.